rnacentral:rRNA from 1 species
UACGAGUGGUGCAAGCGUUAUUCGGAUUUAUUGGGCGUAAAGGGUGUGUAGACGGUUUAUUAAGUCACCUGUUAAAUUCUCUGGCUUAACUGGAGGCAAGCGGGUGAAACUAGUAGACUAGAGGGUGGAAGAGAGAAGUGGAAUUCUCGGAGUAGCGGUAAAAUGCGUAGAUCUCGAGAGGAACACCAAUGGCGAAGGCAGCUUCUUGGUCCAUCCCUGACGUUCAAACACGAAAGCGUGGGGAGCAAACAGG